rnacentral:rRNA from 1 species
GAUGAACGCUGGCGGCGUGCCUAAUACAUGCAAGUCGAGCGAACAGACGAGGAGCUUGCUCCUCUGACGUUAGCGGCGGACGGACAAGUAACACGUGGAUAACCUACCUAUAAGACUGGGACAACUUCGGGAAACCGGAGCGAAUACCGGAUAACAUGCUGAACCGCAUGGUUCAACAGUGAAAUACGGUCUUGCUAUCGCUUAUAGAUUGAUACGCGCCGCAUUAGCUAAUUGGUAAGGUAACUGAUUACCAAGGCAACGAUGCGUAGCCGACCUGAGAGGGUGAUCAGCCACACUGGAACUGAGACACGGUCCAGACUACUACGGGAGGCAGCCGUAGGGAAUCUUCCGCAAUGGGCGAAGGCCUGACGGAGCAACGCCGCGUGCGUGAAGAAGGUCUUCGGAUCGUAAAACUCUGUUAUUAGGGAAGAACAAAUGUGUAAGUAACUAUGCACGUCUUGACGGUACCUAAUCAGAAAGCCACGGCUAACUACGUG